UCUCAGUAGAGCUUAACAAAGCAUCUCUUUUACGCAGAGAAAAUAUUUGUACAAAUCAAAUUACCGUGAA
rnacentral:tRNA from 1 species